GUUCGCUUCAUACUGUGUUAGUGUGGUGUGAGUUUGGUUCCAAUUUUUCACUUUAGAUUCGAGAUUUAUCUCUCUGGAAGAGAGAAGAGAGAGAAAUAAAGAGAAGCUGCGGCUUCUGUGUGUUGUGGUUUAGGGAAGGAGCUGCGGCUGCCGUAACGGCGGCGACUACGGUGAUUCUUCUUUUCUUUCUCUCACUGCGCGGUCUCUAAUUCGCUUGGUGCAGGUCGGGAACCGAUCUUCCCGCGCGUAAUGGAUGCCGUUGGCGGCGGCGAAUUUGGAUCCCGCCUUGCAUCAACUGAAUCGGAGGCCACGGUGAAGAUUCCGGUCGUUUUCCGGCGAGUUUCACUCAGAUCUUUGCAUCCUGCUUCAGUGCUUCCGCGACUAAUUAAGGGAAGGAGGAAGAGAAAAAGUACUUAGUUUGUUUGAGGUUUUAUGAAGUUAUGCUUUGGUAGUUGAAUGCAUUCCAUGGCAGCACUGUUUAGUGAGACGAAUUCUUUUGCGUUGCUUUUGCUGAACCUUGUUUGUGGUUGUUUGAAAUUGCUUUGGGAGCACUGUUUAUGAAGCAUUUGUAGCUAAGUUGUGUGUCUUAUUGAUUAUUUAACUGUCAAACACUGGUUGAUUGGCUUCUGAAACUAGAAAGGG